GUAGGUGGCAAGCGUUGUCCGGAAUUAUUGGGCGUAAAGCGCGCGCAGGCGGUUCUUUAAGUCUGAUGUGAAAGCCCACGGGCUCAACCGUGGAGGGUCAUUGGAAACUGGAGAACUUGAGUACAGAAGAGGAAAGCGGAAUUCCACGUGUAGCGGUGAAAUGCGUAGAGAUGUGGAGGAACACCAGUGGCGAAGGCGGCUUUCUGGUCUGUAACUGACGCUGAGGCGCGAAAGCGUGGGGAGCAAACAGGAUUAGGUACCCUGGUAGUCCACGCCGUAAACGAUGAGUGCUAAGUGUUAGGGGGUUUCCGCCCCUUAGUGCUGCAGCUAACGCAUUAAGCACUCCGCCUGGGGAGUACGGCCGCAAAGGCUG
rnacentral:rRNA from 1 species